rnacentral:rRNA from 1 species
CCUACGGGAGGCAGCAGUGAGGAAUAUUGGUCAAUGGACGAGAGUCUGAACCAGCCAAGUAGCGUGAAGGAUGACUGCCCUAGGGGUUGUAACCUUCUUUUAUAAAGGAAUAAAAUGAGGCACGUUUGCCUUUUUGCAGUUACUUUAUGAAUAAGGAUCGGCGACCUCCGUGCCAGCAGCCGCGGUAAUACGGAGGAUCCGAGCGUUAUCCGAAUUUUUGGGGUUUAAAGGGAGCGUAGAUGGGUUGUUAAGUCGGUUGUGAAUGUUUGCGGUUCACACGUUAAAUUGCGAUUGAUACUGGCUGUCUCGAGUGCAGAUGAGGUGGGCGGAAUUCGUGGUGUAGCGGUGAAAUGCUUAGAGAUCACGCAGAACACCGAUUGCGAAGGCAUCUUACGAAACUGUGACUGACACUGAUGCUCGAAAGUGUGGGUAUCAAACAGGAGUAGAUACCCUAGUAGUC